rnacentral:misc_RNA from 1 species
GCAAACUUGGUCAUUUAGAGGAAGUAAAAGUCGUAACAAGGUCUCCGUUGGUGAACCAGCGGAGGGAUCAUUACCGAGUUUGCAAAAACUCCCAACCCUUUGUGAACCUUACCCAUGUUGCCUUGGCGGAAGCGCCGCCCUGGAACGGCCUGCCCUGUAGUGACCUACCCGGCAGCGUCCCGCCCUGGGGGGUGGCCCGUCGAAGGACCGUCUAAACUCUGUAUUAUUGUGGCACGUCUGAGGCAUGAUUUUUGAAUCAGUUAAAACUUUCAACAACGGAUCUCUUGGUUCUGGCAUCGAUGAAGAACGCAGC